GACGAACGCUGGCGGCGUGCUUAACACAUGCAAGUCGAACGAAGAGCGAUGGAAGCUUGCUUCUAUCAAUCUUAGUGGCGAACGGGUGAGUAACGCGUAAUCAACCUGCCCUUCAGAGGGGGACAACAGUUGGAAACGACUGCUAAUACCGCAUACGAUCUAAUCUCGGCAUCGAGGAUAGAUGAAAGGUGGCCUCUACAUGUAAGCUAUCACUGAAGGAGGGGAUUGCGUCUGAUUAGCUAGUUGGAGGGGUAACGGCCCACCAAGGCGAUGAUCAGUAGCCGGUCUGAGAGGAUGAACGGCCACAUUGGGACUGAGACACGGCCCAGACUCCUACGGGAGGCAGCAGUGGGGAAUCUUCCGCAAUGGACGAAAGUCUGACGGAGCAACGCCGCGUGAGUGAUGACGGCCUUCGGGUUGUAAAGCUCUGUUAAUCGGGACGAAAGGACUUCUUGCGAAUAGGGAGAAGGAUUGACGGUACCGGAAUAGAAAGCCACGGCUAACUACGUG
rnacentral:rRNA from 1 species